rfam:Myotis davidii contig108651, whole genome shotgun sequence.
GGCUGUUCUAGGGUGAUGCACUCCAGAAUCGGGCUCCCUCCUUUCUGGUUCUGGGUGCGUCACUCGAGAACUGCA